rnacentral:rRNA from 1 species
CCCUUAGAUGUUCUGGGCCGCACGCGCGCUACACUGAUGCAUUCAACGAGCCUAUCCUUGACCGACAGGUCCGGGUAAUCUUUGAAUCUGCAUCGUGACGGGGAUAGAUUAUUGCAAUUAUUAAUCUUCAACGAGGAGUGCCUAGUAGGCGCAAGUCAUCAGCUUGCGUCGAUUACGUCCCUGCCCUUUGUACACACCGCCCGUCGCUCCUACCGAUUGGGUGUGCUGGUGAAAUGUUCGGAUCGGCCGUUUGUCGCGGUUUCCGCGGCUCGUGGCUGAGAAGUUCAUUAAACCCUCCCACCGAGAGGAAGGAGAAGUCGUAACA